UGAGGACAAGGUUCCUGGCGCUGAGGACAAGGUUCCUGGCGCUGAGGACAAGGUUCCUGGCGCUGAGGACAAGGUUUCUGGCGCUGAGGACAAGGUUUCUGGCGCUGAGGACGAGGUUUCUGGCGCUGAGGACGAGGUUCCCGGGGGUGAGGACAAGGUUCCUGGCGAUGAGGACAAGGUUCCUGGCGGUGAGGACAAGGUUCCUGGCGGUGAGGACAAGGUUCCUGGCGGCGAGGGCAAGGUUCCUGGCGGCGAGGGCAAGGUUCCUGGCGUUGAGGACAAGGUUCCUGGCGGUGAGGACAAGGUUCCUGGCGGUGAGGACAAGGUUCCUGGCGUUGAGGACAAGGUUCC